rnacentral:rRNA from 1 species
GACGAACGCUGGCGGCGUGCUUAACACAUGCCAGUCGAACGGUGAAGCGCUUUCCUUUUUGGUUGGUGUGGAUGAGUGGCGAACGGGUGAGUAACACGUAAGUAACCUGCCCCCUUCUUCUGGAUAACCGCAUGAAAGUGUGGCUAAUACUGGAUAUUCUGCGCCUGCUGCAUGGUGGGUGUGGGCAAGAUUGUGCCUUUGGGUGUUUUCGUUGGGGGAUCGGCUCGCGGCCUAUCAGCUUGUUGGUGAGGUGAUGGCCUACCAAGGCGGUGACGGGUAGCCGGGCUGGGGGGGGGCACGGUUAGACCGGGACCGAGGCACGGCCCAGACUGGUACGGGAGGGAGGAGUGGGGAACAUUGCAGAAGGGGGGCUAGCGUGAUGCAGCGACGCCGGGUGAGGGAGGGAGGCCUUCGGGAUGUGAACCUAUUUGGCAAGUGAAGCAGGCCUGCUCAGUGUGGGUGGGUUGACGGUAGCUGGAUAAGAAGCGCCGGCUAACUACGUG